CAAUAACACUCUCUUCUCUCUUCCAUUUACCAUCUCUUCUAUUCUAUAGAUUCUUGAUUAUUUGAAGCCAUGGAUAGGAAGAUUGUAUUUUUAGUGUCAUUUUUGUGCAUUGUAGUGGCCAGUGUCACAGGUCAGACACCUGCGGCUGCACCAGCCAAAGCACCAGUUGGUGCUAAGGCUACUACACCACCAGCUGCUGCUCCCACAAAGCCUAAAACUCCUGCCCCUGCUACUGCACCUGCCUCAGCUCCACCCACAGCUGUUUCUACUCCUCCAGCAGCUGCACCAGCCACUGCUCCUACUACCCCUGUUGUUACUCCACCUGUAUCAGCACCACCAGCUAAAACACCAGCUAGUUCUCCACCAGCUGCAGUGCCUGUGAGUUCACCACCACCAGCGGUUACACCGGUGCAAUCUCCACCAGCACCAGCUCCGGUAGCAGCGACACCACCAGCUGCAUCUGCUCCACCUGCUCCUGUUCCAGUUUUAGCACCUGCUGUUUCGGAGACAGUACCAGCUCCUGCUCCUAGCAAGAGCAAGGGCAAGGGAAAGAAGAAGGGGAAGAAACAUGCAUCUUCACCAGCACCUUCUCCUGAUAUGAUGAGCCCACCUGCUCCUCCUACUGAAGCUCCUGGACCUAGCAUGGAUUCCGACUCUCCC
rnacentral:lncRNA from 1 species